rnacentral:rRNA from 1 species
CCUACGGGUGGCUGCAGUCGAGGAUCAUUUGCAAUGGGCGCAAGCCUGACAGUGCGACGCUGCGUGGAGGAUGAAGGCCUUCGGGUCGUAAACUCCUGUCAUUCGGGAACAAGAGCGGGAUGGUGAAUAAUCCUUCCGAUUGAUGGUACCGGAAGAGGAAGCCACGGCUAACUCUGUGCCAGCAGCCGCGGUAAUACAGAGGUGGCAAGCGUUGUUCGGAUUUACUGGGCGUAAAGGGUGCGUAGGUGGUCUCGUAUGUCGGGUGUGAAAUCCCACUGCC